rnacentral:rRNA from 1 species
GUCCUAGCCCUAAACGGUGCUUGCUUGCUGUAAGUGGAAUCGACCCCACUUGUGGCGGAGCUAACGCGUUAAGCAAGCCGCCUGGGAAGUACGGUCGCAAGAUUAAAACUCAAAGAAAUUGACGGGGGCCUGCACAAGCGGUGGAGUAUGUGGCUUAAUUCGAUGCAACGCGAAGAACCUUACCUGGCCUUGACAUGUAGAUAGUAGAACCCUGAAAGGGGGACGAGCCCGCAAGGGCAGUUUACACAGGUGCUGCAUGGCUGUCGU